UUCUUGUGUUUAUUCCUCGCUAGUACAUGUACUCGGCGUAGAUUAAGUAGAGGCUAACCAUGUGUAUGUUUGUGUAUGCUUGUGAGGAGAGAAACCCCUAGGUUCCGACGGUGAAGAACCGAAGCCCGUGUGACGAUUAGUAAGUGUUCGGUAGAAGGACCGAACCCAAAACCUUCGCUGUGUUCGCGGACGUCGCUUCGAGUUUAGUCAUGGUACGUUAAUUGAUCACGUGCUAUGGAAGACGAGUGGAAUUGAUCUCCAAGUGAUGCUGAUGGACGAAGCUAAAAUGGAUGAAUCAACCAAGUGUCAGGAUGGAAGAUGCUCACCAAGUGGUCGUCAAUUAACAACACUAACAUAGUGUUUAUCCCAGGCAAGCCCCGGUGCAUUUGCCACCUCCUUGUUGUUAUAAAACUUUUAUCACUUAUAUGUUGCAUUAGGUGAUAGGAGUUGAGUGAUGAAACAAUUGAUGCAAUGCCAUUCCUUGGAAUUUGAUUACUAUUCCUUGAUUCCUGUUUAUAAAAGAGAACUAAAGAUGCUUAGCCCUGCUUAGAUAAUUAAAAGUUGUUUCUUUUAAAAAGAUGAUGUGUUACACGGGAUAUGGGAAAUUGUUGUGAAAAAGAAAUUGGGAUGGUGAAUCCAUAUGGCCAUGAUGGAUUCAACAUCCAGAAAAAGUACCUCUGUCAGGUACCAAGGAUUGGGAAAUGGUUUAACUAAAAUGAGACCAGACGUUGAGCAGGAAAGGUCGCCCGUCUGUGUCGAUUAAGGACCGUUCCGAUUGUUGGCCUGCUGAUCUAGGACCCUUUAACUGGCCACAUGCCUCAUCAUGGGUAAGCUUAGCCUCGGUCGGACCAAUACCAGAACAGCUCGCACGCACUGGGAGUGGAGAGAUGGCGAGAGUAGCUUGUACCCUCCGUGGCAAGAGACUGGAAGGUGGGGUGCUGUACUCUCGGAAACAUGGCGGGCACCAUGGCGAGAGUAACGUGUACCAACCAGGCCAACGGCUGGAAGGUGGGGUGCUGUACUCUCGGAAACAUGGCGGGCACCAUGGCGAGAGUAACGUGUACCAACCAGGCCAAUGGCUGGAUGGUGGAGUACUGUGCUCUCGGGUCGCGUGAACCUGUUUUGGUCUUGAGAAACCCGUGGGCGAGUUGACAUAUGCAAGGGUUAAGUGCUACAUAUGUCGUGUGGUUGGAGAUCCCCAGCUGGGUAUUAAUCGAUUCGGA